AGCGGGAGGGUGGGGGCCGCGGCGGGCGGGCGGCCUCCUCGCCCGACCCCCGACCCCGGGCUAGGUGUCUUUAGAAUUCAGGAAAGUAGGUGGGACUGCAGACGUUACCCUUCCCUGCGACUCUUGCCAAGAUCGUACAGACUUCAGUGUGCCGGGCUUAGAUGUCUUCAGAGGACUGCCCUUAUUGGACCGCAGAGAGAAAGAUGAUCUCCUUCCCAGGUGCACUGAGUGGCAGCCUUGGGCCUGGACCGGUGGGUUCUUGGUGGCAGCAGACAUUUGCUGGUGGGGCCUCCCUCAGACCAUUUUCAACUGUUACAUCAAGAGGACUUACGCCAGGUUCUCGCAAUCUUCACUCGCAUGUGCACGAAGUCUUGGGAACAUGAUGUUCUGCCGCAGUUUACAAUGACCUUCAUUAUGCAUCAUUAGCAUUUCAUUAACAUUAGCAGGGCCAUAUAGCAGUUUAAUCUAUCAGCUACUCCCUUAGGAUAUCUGGCUAAUCCAUUAACUUGCAACAUAAAUUAUUGAACCCCCGGUUUUACCUGGUUAUUUAUGAGACCACUGGUCCUGACCUGCCCUUCCUGGUUUUGGCAUGGUUCCUUGUUUUCUGGAAGCCUUUGACUUACUCUUAGUUAACUUAUCUGCCCCUCGAAACUUAUAUAAAUAUACCAUUUCAUAAACAGACACAAAGAACUUCAAGUAAGAAAUAAGACCCCGUAUCUACCAAACCUGUCUCUUUACUAAAAUAUCCUAUUUUGACCCUUUCUUAGAAUUGUAACUAGUUUUGUAAUUACACAGUUAUUUGUCUAUUUUUAGAUAUACAAUGUUAACUUUUUAUCAGUAAAGCCUCACGGCUUUUCAUAGAGUCAACCUGUAGAUCAACAACCAUAGAUCUACAGUUGUAGUGAUACGCAAAUUGUCACUGCCUGUUCCUUUGUCCUUUCAGCACUAACCCAGUAUUUCUGGAAGGAACCUGGUUUUCUGAGAAUAGCAAGAUGUUUCAGGUCAUUCUGAUGUUCCCUUACUACCACACAUGGAAUUAGCUUCUUUGAAGGGGUCCUGGCCACUGCUAAUGAAAACCACUCCGGAGAUUAAUACUUGGGUACCGAGAAUACAUGCAGGUGUGCACAGGCAGACCAGGGAUGCGAUGGCACUCCAUGCCACUGGAAAGACAGGUGGAAAAGAUGCUGUUUCCUAAGCUUGUAAUUGUGUUCAUAGUGAGAUUACUCAUAUAGUUCUAGUAUUACUACAGCUUUCUCUUUUAUGUGAUUUUUAAGUGGAUUAUUUUCUACAAUGUGCCUAUUUAGAUUUUUGACUCUUAACCCAAACUGAUUAUUCCUACCUCUGAUUUUAUCAUUAUAUGUGUGUGUGUGUAUAUAUAUGUACAUAUGUGUGUAUAUAUACACACACACACACACACAUAUAUGAAUUUUAGAGAUAGGGUCUUGCUUUGUUGCUGCCCAGGUUGGAGGAGUACAGUGGCAUGAUCAUAGCUUAUUCCAUCCUUGAGCUCCUAGGCUCAAGCAAUCCUCCAGCCUUGGCCUCCCAAAGUGUUAGGAUUACGGGCAUGAGCCACCAUGCCCAGCCAAGAUCCAUUAUUUUGAGGUCGCCUGUAUCCUUUAUCAAAAUCUUCUUUCAAGAAAGCAUCUUGUGAAAUUAUGUUCCUAAAUUAUUGUUUUCAUGUAAAUGUUCAUUUCUCAUAAAGAUAAUGGAUAUUAUGAUAAAAUUAUUGACACAAAUAUAUUCAGUUGUGCAAAUUAAUUAUAUUUCUUAUAUAACUAAAUGCCAUUUCAUGUCGAUAAAUUUAUUGACACAAAUUCAUUCACAUACUAGCUUCAAGAGGCCGACUGCCACCAGUGGGCAGCUGGGAAGCCGCUUUCCUCUAGGAACCAUCACCGAGGCAGGUUGCCAUUAAUUAUACACUUUUGAGUGAUUUACAUCCAAUUCCACAAAUGUGUCUUCAUUAAUUGAAGGCAUUUUGAAAUACUACUGGCAAAUAGAAACAAUAGAGAUGUUUGCUGAUUGAAAAUGUGCAAAUCACAUAGUAAGGCCAUGGAAGAGCCAGCUGUGGACUCCUCUCUCCAUUUACGAACCUGGAUUCCCCCACAGAAAGGGGCCAUCUCUUAGUCAUUCC
rnacentral:lncRNA from 1 species